UCCGAAUUGGUGUAGGGGUCAACAUUGCCGCUUCUCAGACUUAUGUAAUCUCACGCGGCAGCCCGGGGUUCGAUUCCCCGAUUCGGAA